CGGAGAGGGAGCAUGAGAAGCGGCUACCACAACUAAGGUUGGCAGCAGGCGCGCAAAUUGCCCAAUAGCAACACAUCGCUGAGGCAGCGAAGAUAAAUAGCAACCUCAUGCGGCAUUGCCGUGUGGAGAUUGCCAUGGACGAUAUUUAAACCUGUCGGUGAGUAUCAAUUGGUGGACAAGUCUGGUGCCAGCACCCGCGGUAAUUCCAGCACCAAUAGCGUAUAUUAAUGCUGCUGCUGUUAAAAAGCUCGUAGUUGGAUCAAGAGUUGGAGAGUGCACGGUGGCCCUUCUAGUUCACGAGGCUCCGGUUUCGGGGACUGGUUGGGAUCAACCCCGUGCGCCAAACUCUCAACUCUAACAGGCCGAAGCGGUUCCCUGUGAGUAGGCCCCUUUAUUGGGGUUGAAAGCGACUUCGCAUCUACCAUAUGCAUACGGGACGUCGGCCAAAGUUACUGUGAACAAACCAGCGUGUCCAAAACAGGCUUUCGCCUGAAUAUUCGAGCAUGGAAUAACAAGGGAUCGAUCCUCUCGGUUCUUUUUGUUGGGUUUUAACCUGAGAAGGAGUAAUCCAGGCCACGGUGUCUGAGAUGGGUUCCCCUGCACUUCGGUGUAGGCCCCAGUUAGGCCGUGUCCUUACGGGAUAAAUAGGGACUGACGGGGUCGUACGUACUUCCACGUCAGAGGUGAAAUUCUUAGAUCGUGGGAAGACGACUUCUGCGAAAGCAUUCGACAAGAAUGUCUCCAUUAAUCAAGGACGAGAGUGUGGGGAUCGAAGAUGAUCAGAUACCGUCGUAGUCCACUACUGUAAACAAUGCCGUCUCAGGAUUGAGAAGUAACAUUUUGACCUUCACAGCACUAACCCCUGAAACGAGGAAUCAAAGAUUAUGAGUUCAGGGGGGAGUACAUUCGCAAGGCUGGAACUUAAAGGAAUUGACGGAAUGACACCACAAGGCGUGGAGUAUGCGGCUUAAUUUGACUCAACACGGGGAAUUUACUAGGUCAGGACCAGUGUAUGGAU
rnacentral:rRNA from 1 species